GAGUUCAUGCCCUCAUGGGUAGAUCUCCCACCCUUGAAUAACAUACAUUGUUGCUUUGGCGGACGCUUCGGCAGCCGCCAGAGAACCCUAAACUCUUGUUUACAGUGUCGUCUGAGUACUAUAUAAUAGUUAAAACUUUCAACAACGGAUCUCUUGGUUCU
rnacentral:misc_RNA from 1 species